CAAAAAGUCCAAAAAAUAGAGAAGCUCUAAAUGUUAAUGUUAAUUUAACACCUACAAAAAGAAGGAAAAAGCAAGCAAACCAAAACUGCAUCCUAAAUUGCACGGCAGAAAAGAAAGAACACAUUAUAAAAUUUAGCAAAAUAUCCAAAGAGGUUGUGCAUAACGCAGCUUGCGUAAGAAAAGAUGAUAAAAUAUUGGCCCUGUUGGAAUCGUACAAGGAAGAUAAAGACCUUUUUGCGAGUGAGAAUGGAUACCAUAGAAAAAAUUAUCAGAAAUAUACGCACAAACGUUUGUUGGAAAAAUUGAGCAAAAA